rnacentral:lncRNA from 1 species
AAAAAUGUUAGUCAAGUUCAUGCAAAUCAAGUCCAACAACGCGUAUGAUAAAGAAUAUAAGAUAACGCACAUGCGCAACCAACGAAAGACAUGGCAUAAGAUAUACAAAAUAAGCGCAAGCCGUGUCACACAAUGGUAGCAAAGGAAUAUAUACAAGUGCAUGAAAGUAAACAUGAUGCAUGAGUAGCACAACAAAAGAUCCAAAAGCCUAUGCUACCAAAAUC